rnacentral:rRNA from 1 species
CCUACGGGAGGCUGCAGUAGGGAAUAUUGCACAAUGGGCGCAAGCCUGAUGCAGCCAUGCCGCGUGUGUGAAGAAGGCCUUCGGGUUGUAAAGCACUUUCAGCGGGGAGGAAGGCGGUGAGGUUAAUAACCUCAUCGAUUGACGUUACCCGCAGAAGAAGCACCGGCUAACUCCGUGCCAGCAGCCGCGGUAAUACGGAGGGUGCAAGCGUUAAUCGGAAUUACUGGGCGUAAAGCGCACGCAGGCGGUCUGUCAAGUCGGAUGUGAAAUCCCCGGGCUCAACCUGGGAACUGCAUUCGAAACUGGCAGGCUAGAGUCUUGUAGAGGGGGGUAGAAUUCCAGGUGUAGCGGUGAAACGCGUAGAGAUCUGGAGGAAUACCGGUGGCGAAGGCGGCCCCCUGGACAAAGACUGACGCUCAGGUGCGAAAGCGUGGGGAGCAAACAGGAUUAGAUACCCGAGUAGUC